UUUGUCAUGACAGCCCAGGCCAUCGUGUUGUUUUGUCUCUGUCUGUGAUAGAAAGAGCCCAUCCUUGUCAAUUAUCUGUACUGAGAUAGUAUGGAUUGACAAGGUGUUGGCUGUCUUUAUCCAUUUUCUAUACUUUAGUAAAAAAGAAUAUUAAUUAACAUAAUCUUUAUCUGUGAUAGAAAGAGCCCGUCCUUGUCAAUUAUCUGUAUGGAUUGACAAAAAAAUUGGUGUUGCAAGGUCUUACGCUAUUAUAGGAAUUGACUGUCUUUAUCCAUUUUCUGUACUUAAGUGAAUAAGGAUUAAGUAAACAUAAUGCUGCAAUGUCUCCAUCUGCGAUAGGAAUCGACCGUCCCUGUCCAGCAUCUGUACUGAGUGAAUAUAGACUGACAAGGUGUUGUGACGUCUUAAUCUGUGUCAGGAUUUUACCAUCUUUAUCCAUGAUCUGUACUUACAGAACGUGGAUCAUCUAUAAUGAGCAUGGAAUCGUAUCAAUGCUGGGUUUCUAUGAAUAACAUACCAGGUUUUCUAUUUGUUGUUGUUGUUUGAACUGACCCAGACAGACCCGGUGUUGUCAACAUCUUAAUACAGGGUCUCUAUAAAUAAAUUCCCAAUACCAGACCCAAGUGGUCAAGAGAAGGUUGUUCUUGAUAUGUAAAUUGUACUACGUGUAUAUAUCCAAAAUUCUAAAUAAAGGGGACUGUUAUCUUCCUCCUUAUGGAGGCUUUAAUCAUAACAAUAACAAUCUGAUCGCAGUAAUUAAUAAUUAAUAUUUCCUCGUCAGUAAUGACAGGAAUUUUCCGUCCUUGUCCAGUAUUUGUACUGAGAUGGUGGAUAUGAAGAUGUGUUAUAGUCUUUUAUGGCACGCCAAAUUCACAAAAAAAUGAGCUAAACAUAGUUUAUGGACUGUAAACUAUAAUUAACUAUGUUAAUCUAUAUUUUACAUCUGUAAACGGCAGUUAAGAACCGUGAACUAUACUGAUCCGUGAACUAUACUUAACACUGAAAACAAGCAUUUGCGAUUGCAAAGCAUAGAUUAUCUGAUAAAUACAGUAUCAAAAUUUGUAAACUAUGGUUUACAGCUCUUACUUUACUUGAUAAUUUGAUAAAUAUAGUUUCACGAUUUGUGAAAGUAUGAUUAACAACUCUUAACCAUAGUUCAUGAUUGUGAAACGUUAAUCUAUCAUUAUCAACAAACUCCAUUGUUAACAUUUUAUUACAGACAGAUAAACUAUGAUUAGCAUCGUAACCUAUAGUUAACAACUGUUAAAUAUAGUUUUACAGAUGAAAACUAUAGUUAACAAAUUGUUAACUAUAGUUCAUGGUAUGUAAAUUGGGAAACUAUAUUUAGCUCAUUUUUGUGAAUUUGGCGUGCCAUAGUCUUUUGAUCCUCCCCUAAGUUGGUUAAUUUUUGUCAUUUUUUUUUUUUUUUUGUCUCUAACUGUGACAGGAAGUGACCAUCACUAUCUAGCAUCUGUACUGAGUUGGUAGUUAUAAAGAUGUGUUGUUGGCUUUUGAUCCUACCCUGGUUUGGUUAAUUUUUGUCAUCUUGGCCCAGGCCAUCGUGUUGUUUUGUCUCUAUCUGUGACAGGUAGUGACCAUCACUAUCUAGCAUCUGUACUGAGUUGGUAGUUAUAAAGAUGUGUUGUUGACUUUUGAUCCUACCCUGGUUUGGUUAAUUUUUGUCAUCUUGGCCCAGGCCAUCGUGUUGUUUUGUCUCUAUCUGUGACAGGUAGUGACCAUCACUAUCCAACAUCUGUACUGAGUUGGUGGCUAUAAGGAUAUGUUGUUGGCUUUUGAUCCUACCCUGAGUUGGUUAAUUUUGUCAUCACAGCCCAAGCCAUCGUGUUGUUUUGUCUCUGUCUGUGAUAGAAAGAGCCCGUCCUUGUCAAUUAUCUGCACUAAGAUGGUAUGGAUUGACAAGGUGUUGCAAUGUCUUUAUCUGUGACAGGAGUUGACCGUCUUUAUCCAUGAUCUGUACUGACAGAACCUGGAUCAUCUUUAGCAUUCUGUCCUGAUGUCUGUAUCUAUGUUAGGUAUUUUCCAUUCCAGUCUAAUGUGUGUACUGAUGAACCUAGAUUAGACAUCAAGAUGUUGAAUUUGUCCUCACAGCCUAGACAUCGGUGUUGUGGUGCCUGUGACAGGAAUUCUUCAUCACAGUCUUAUAUUUAUGUCCAACAUGGACUAAACAUCGUGUUGUGGUGUCUGUAUCUGUGUCAGGUAGUUUUCGUCUUAAAUCUCUACGGUGGUAAACUAACUUGUAAGUUUACCUCAGUAGUCUCUUUAAAAGAAAGUUGUCUUUAAUUUAUAAUUGCAUAUAUAAAACUUAAAUACAAGAAUAAAGGGGACUGGAAAAGGUGCCAGAUUCUUUAUAUGUUGUUGUCUUGUGAUCAUACCCACAGUAGGUGUGUGUCGUCAUCUGAUAUACCCACAGUAGGUGUGUGUCAUCAUCUUAUAUACCCACAGUAGGUGAGUGUCAUCAUCAUAACUCUCUGGGUAAUUUACCUUACAGGACCCAUACUCUAAAAUUCUAAAACUCGUCAUGUAAAUUGAGCAUAAUCCAGAAAAGAAGAAACAAAUGGAGAUGUCUGUAUGAAAGUUACUCCCCUUAAUAUGAUCUCCUGUGGACCAAAACAGAGAAUUGAGCUUUAUGUUAGGCCACAUAAAUUUAAUUCUCUGGUUCUCGGAUCAAUUUUCUCCAAAACAGAUGAGAGCAGGAGGCAUUUUAAAAAUCAUUUUAUUUGGCGAUUAAGUAGAUGAGGAAGGCAUAUUUUUAAUUUGAAUGUUCUGUAAAACAAUGAUGAAAACUCUAUAUAUAGAUAUACUUUCCAUGUCUGAUCAAUAGGACUGCUUUAUCCAUUGCUUAUCAACGUGUAAACAUCGUAGGCAUUGUAGUGAGGAUGGAAAUUUUUUUCAGUUUCAUCUCUGCAUUACCCACUCUUUAUGUUAUCAAGAAUAUGAUAAAGUAUAGGAUGUACCUAUACCUCAAAACGGAAACCUGAGAACCAUAAUUUUAAAUUUUAUAUAGCCUAGUAUCAUCCUGCAACAGGCUUCCUGAAGAACAACUCAAUUUGAUCUCAGUAGUCUUGUUAAAAGUCUGUUCCCAGUUUUAUCUUAAUUUAUUAGAGUUUAACUUUGUCCUCUGUAUAGCUUAAGCCAAGGUGAAUAAAUAUUUCCUUGUAUGUUGUCAGCAGUAUUUUGUAGCAGGAAUUCCCGUCACAGUCCAGUAUAUGUACUGAGUUAGUGGUCGGAUAUGUUGUCAUGUUGCUAUCCUGGCUCAGGCCAUUGUUAUGUCUGUAUGUCUGACAGGAAGUUCCCGUCACUGUCCAGUAUCUGUACUGAGUCUGGCUACAUGAAUAAUGUUGCCACAGAAAUACGAGAUUAAAAAAUUAUAUAUUUAAAUAUUUUAACUAUUUCUAACAUUUCUCUCGCAGAAAUACGAGAUUAAAAAAAUAUAUAUUAUUUCAACCAUUUCUAACAUGUAUUAGUUAAAUAUAUGUAUAUGAAUAUUUGUUACAAGCUUUAUCUGGUGCAGGAAUUUAUGAUUUCCUAUUCUGUCUUUUUGUUGGCUCUGUGAUUAAGACUCCUUGGAGUUUAAAACACAUUUUCUUGAGCAAGAUCCCAAAUCAAUUUAGGAAACUAUAGAAGGUACAAAACUGAAAAGGAGGUUCCUUUAGGUUUGGUAUUGUUCAUUUUCUUGAUUAUUGUGGGCUCAGUGAUUAAGACAUCUUUGGAGUUGAAAACUCAUCUUCUUUUGCAACUUUACUUUAAAUAAGUCAAGGAGUGGUUUACUUACCCAAAUCCAGUAUGACGUGUUUGACGAGUUAAACGUCCAGUUACGUAGGAAAUGUGAUAACCAUAAAAAAAUUGCUAAAUAUGAAGUAUAUUUAAAAUUUAACCAGCUGGCAAACUUGAAGAGGGCGUUUCUAGGCUAUAGCCAGUUUGACGUCACAUGGGAAAUGUGAUGACCAUAAAAUUAGCUAUAUUAUUAUAUAUAAAAUUUUAAGUAGCUGGCACAGUGGAAGAGACAGUUACUUGUCCAAAUCCAGUCUGAUGACACGUGGGUAAUGUGAUUACCAUAAAAAAAUAGCUUUUACCAGUAUAUUAAAAAAUUUUAACACCUGGCACAAUGAAUUUUUUUUAAUACAGAGAAACAUCUCUUAUUUUUCAUUUCUGUGAUUCAAUUUAUCUUGAAGUGCUGAACUGAAACACAUCUUUUUACAAUUUUCCUACGUAGAGUAGGAAGUAGGUAGUCUUGAGCUGGUUUGAUGAUACAUGAGAAAUGUGUUACAACCAAAAAAAUCAACAUUUCUUAUUUUCUUCUCUUAAGAGUUUCUGUGAUUCUAUUUACCCUGAGGUUUUUAGAACUGUCCCUAUCCGGUCUGUAGAUACAUGUGAAAUGUGAUGACCAACCCAUUCCUCAUAAAUAAAAAAAAUUAUUUGCUUUAUCAGUAGAAAUUAACAAUUUUAAAAAUAACUCUGGCACAAGUAUUAUGCAUAUUGCUUUGCUGCUGUCUGUUGGUCUGUCUGUCAGUCCACCAUUAGUUUCCAUUCCAUUCAUUUUCAUUAUCCCCCUUGUACUUAAAAAAAAUCCAAUAAUUUGCUGUUUCUGUUCAUUUUUUUUUCCAGAGGUUGCACAUACUAAAAUGAAAUUUUCUAAACAGAUUUAUUAUAAGAAUAUCUACUUCUGUUUUGGGUAUGAUGGGACCAUUUUGGACUUAGAAAAAAAUACAUUUGGGGGAGGGGGGACAUAAGUGUUUCAGAAACAUCUCUUGUUUUUAACAGGAGUAUGGUUUAUGAUUGAAUGGUUAAUCUGCAUUGUGUAUCUUGGAGGGAAUUGUACUGACUGUUGCAGACUUAGUUUGUCCAUAAUCAUGAUACCAGUAAUGCUACAUGUCACAAUAUCAAGUCAUCAAGGUCAAUGUCAGAAAAUUGUGUACUUUUAAAUAAGCAAAACAACUUCACAAUCAUUUAAAGGUGCAUAGACACAGAUUUGAAGUUGAUAUGUUCAAUAUCUAUGGACCUUUAAGGAUUCUUUCUUUAAUAGGUCAAUGUCAUUGGAAUUUUUUCAAAUUAGCCAAAAAUAACAAAUUCCCUUGUCAAGGAGAAAAGGGGUGUGCUAGAAUGAUUGUGCCUCAUUUAAAGACAAGGUUUGAAAUUUUUUUUCCCAAAAUAUAUUUUUUUGACAUAUGGUCAUAUGAUCAGCAAAGUUUACAUUAAUUUCCAUGGAUGUACAUUAUAACAGUGUUCUAUUUUUAAAACUACUCAAAGCAUUAUCAACAUGGUUUUAGAUAACAUUGAUAAAUAACAAGCCUCUCUCUCU